rnacentral:rRNA from 1 species
UACGUAGGGUGCAAGCGUUGUCCGGAAUUAUUGGGCGUAAAGAGCUCGUAGGCGGUCUGUCGCGUCAGCUGUGAAAACUCGGGGCUCAACCCCGAGCCUGCAGUCGAUACGGGCAGACUAGAGUCCGGCAGGGGAGACUGGAAUUCCUGGUGUAGCGGUGAAAUGCGCAGAUAUCAGGAGGAACACCGGUGGCGAAGGCGGGUCUCUGGGCCGGAACUGACGCUGAGGAGCGAAAGCGUGGGGAGCGAACAGG